AUACGUAGGGGGCGAGCGUUGUCCGGAACUACUGGGCGUAAAGGGCGCGUAGGCGGUCUAAUAAGUCAGAUGUGAAAUUCUUGGGCUUAACCCAGGAUGUGCAUUUGAAACUGUUGGACUUGAGGGCAGGAGAGGAGAGCGGAAUUCCCAGUGUAGCGGUGAAAUGCGUAGAUAUUGGGAGGAACACCAGUGGCGAAGGCGGCUUUCUGGACUGUCCCUGACGCUGAGGCGCGAAAGCCAGGGGAGCGAACGGGAUUAGAUACCCCGGUAGUCCUGGCCGUAAACGAUGGAUACUAGGUGUGGGAGGUAUCGACCCCUUCCGUGCCGGAGCAAACGCAAUAAGUAUCCCGCCUGGGGAGUACGGCCGCAAGGCUGAA
rnacentral:rRNA from 1 species